rnacentral:tRNA from 1 species
GUGGCUGUAGCUCAGUCGGUUAGAGCGCCAGGUUGUGGUCCUGGAGGUCGGGGGUUCGAUUCCCCUCAGCCACCCCA